AGCAGCCGCGGUAAUUCCAGCUCCAAUAGCGUAUAUUAAAGUUGUUGCAGUUAAAAAGCUCGUAGUUGAAUUUCGGGAUCAAUAUGUUGGUCGUGCCUCGGUACGUACUAGCUUAUUGGUUUCUCCUUUCUGAAGAACCAUGAUGUCAUUUAUUUGGUGUCGUGGGGAAUCAGGACUGUUACUUUGAAAAAAUUAGAGUGUUUAAAGCAGGCUCACGCUUGAAUACAUUAGCAUGGAAUAAUGAAAUAGGACGUUUGAUUCUAUUUUGUUGGUUUUUAGGAUCGACGUAAUGAUUAAUAGGGAUAGUUGGGGGCAUUAGUAUUCAAUUGUCAGAGGUGAAAUUCUUGGAUUUAUUGAAGACUAACUACUGCGAAAGCAUUUGCCAAGGAUGUUUUCAUUAAUCAAGAACGAAAGUUAGGGGAUCGAAGACGAUCAGAUACCGUCGUAGUCUUAACCAUAAACUAUGCCGACUAGGGAUCGGAUGAUGUUAAUUUUUUUAAUGACUCAUUCGG
rnacentral:misc_RNA from 1 species